UGGUGGAGCGAUUUGUCUGGUUAAUUCCGAUAACGAACGAGACUCUAGCCUGCUAAAUAGACGGGCGAUCCCUUGUGGGUCGAUCCGAUUUGCUUCUUAGAGGGACAAGUGGCGUUCCUAGCCACGCGGAAUUGAGCAAUAACA
rnacentral:rRNA from 1 species